AUUGAACGCUGGCGGCAGGCCUAACACAUGCAAGUCGAGCGGCAGCGGGAAAGUAGCUUGCUACUUUUGCCGGCGAGCGGCGGACGGGUGAGUAAUGCCUGGGAAAUUGCCCAGUCGAGGGGGAUAACAGUUGGAAACGACUGCUAAUACCGCAUACGCCCUACGGGGGAAAGCGGGGGACCUUAGGGCCUUGCGCGAUUGGAUAUGCACAGGUGGGAUUAGCUAGUUGGUGAGGUAAUGGCUCAUCAAGGCGACGAUCCCUAGCUGGUCUGAGAGGAUGAUCAGCCACACUGGAACUGAGACACGGUCCAGACUCCUACGGGAGGCAGCAGUGGGGAAUAUUGCACAAUGGGGGAAACCCUGAUGCAGCCAUGCCGCGUGUGUGAAGAAGGCCUUCGGGUUGUAAAGCACUUUCAGCGAGGAGGAAAGGUUGAUGCCUAAUACGUAUCAACUGUGACGUUACUCGCAGAAGAAGCACCGGCUAACUCCGUGCCAGCCGCCGCCGUAA
rnacentral:rRNA from 1 species